rnacentral:rRNA from 1 species
UACGUAGGGGGCAAGCGUUGUCCGGAUUUACUGGGCGUAAAGAGCGUGUAGGCGGCCCGGUAAGUCCGCUGUGAAAGUCGGGGGCUCAACCCUCGAAUGCCGGUGGAUACUGUCGGGCUAGAGUGCGGAAGAGGCGAGUGGAAUUCCUGGUGUAGCGGUGAAAUGCGCAGAUAUCAGGAGGAACACCAAUUGCGAAGGCAGCUCGCUGGGACGUAACUGACGCUGGAGACGCGAAAGCGUGGGGAGCAAACAGG